rnacentral:rRNA from 1 species
AAGUAAAAGUCGUAACAAGGUCUCCGUUGGUGAACCAGCGGAGGGAUCAUUACCGAGUUUACAACUCCCAAACCCCUGUGAACAUACCACUUGUUGCCUCGGCGGAUCAGCCCGCUCCCGGUAAAACGGGACGGCCCGCCAGAGGACCCCUAAACUCUGUUUCUAUAUGUAACUUCUGAGUAAAACCAUAAAUAAAUCAAAACUUUCAACAACGGAUCUCUUGGUUCUGGCAUCGAUGAAGAACGCAGCAAAAUGCGAUAAGUAAUGUGAAUUGCAGAAUUCAGUGAAUCAUCGAAUCUUUGAACGCACAUUGCGCCCGCCAGUAUUCUGGCGGGCAUGCCUGUUCGAGCGUCAUUUCAACCCUCAAGCACAGCUUGGUGUUGGGACUCGCGUUAAUUCGCGUUCCCCAAAUUGAUUGGCGGUCACGUCGAGCUUCCAUAGCGUAGUAGUAAAACCCUCGUUACUGGUAAUCGUCGCGGCCACGCCGUUAAACCCCAACUUCUGAAUGUUGACCUCGGAUCAGGUAGGAAUACCCGCUGAACUUAAG